CCUACGGGAGGCAGCAGUGAGGAAUAUUGGUCAAUGGGCGCGAGCCUGAACCAGCCAAGUAGCGUGAAGGAUGACUGCCCUACGGGUUGUAAACUUCUUUUAUAAAGGAAUAAAGUGAGGCACGUGUGCCUUUUUGUAUGUACUUUAUGAAUAAGGGUCGGAUAAUUCUGUGCCAUCAGCCGCGGUAAUACGGAGGAACCGAGCGUUAUCCGGAUUUAUUGGGUUUAAAGGGAGCGUAGAUGGGUUGUUAAGUCAGUUGUGAAAGUUUGCGGCUCAAACGUAAAAUUGCAAUUGAUACUGGCAGUCUUGAGUACAGUUGAGGUAGGCGGAAUUCGUGGUGUAGCGGUGAAAUGCUUAGAUAUCACGAAGAACUCCGAUUGCGAAGGCAGCUUACUAAACUGCCACUGACAUUGAUGCUCGAAAGUGUGGGUAUCAAACAGGAUUAGAUACCCGAGUAGUC
rnacentral:rRNA from 1 species